GAUGAAGAACGUAGCGAAAUGCGAUAAGUAAUGUGAAUUGCAGAAUUCAGUGAAUCAUCGAAUCUUUGAACGCACCUUGCGCUCUUUGGUAUUCCGAAGAGCAUGCCUGUUUGAGUGUCAUGAGAAUAUCAACCUUGACUUGGGUUUUGUGCUCUAGUCUCGGCUUGGAAUUGGGUGCUUGCCGCUUUUACGAGCGGCUCACCUUAAAUGUAUUAGCUGGAUCUGUCUUUGAGACUUGGUUUGACUUGGCGUAAUAAGUAUUUCGCUAAGGACAUUCUUCGGAGUGGCCUCGUUUCUAGGACGCUUGUCCGCUUUCCAAUACAAGUUCCACCUCGUGGACAUGACUUUUUAUUAUCUGGCCUCAAAUCAGGUAGGACUACCCGCUGAACUUAAGCAUAUCAAUAAGCGGAGGA
rnacentral:misc_RNA from 1 species